GCAUUGAUAGCUUACAUAGAGCAUGGCACUGAAGAUGCUAAGGCGACAAUUUUUGUCUCAAAGCA
rnacentral:tRNA from 1 species